UUACACUGCAAGUCGAACGAUGAACCGGGUGCUUGCACUUGGGGAUUAGUGGCGAACGGGUGAGUAACACGUGAGUAACCUGCCCUGGACUCUGGGAUAACCCCGAGAAAUCGGAGCUAAUACCGGAUAGGACCUUUCCUCGCAUGAGGUUUGGUGGAAAGUUUUUCGGUCUGGGAUGGACUCGCGGCCUAUCAGCUUGUUGGUGAGGUAAUGGCUCACCAAGGCGUCGACGGGUAGCCGGCCUGAGAGGGUGACCGGCCACACUGGGACUGAGACACGGCCCAGACUCCUACGGGAGGCAGCAGUGGGGAAUAUUGCACAAUGGGCGCAAGCCUGAUGCAGCAACGCCGCGUGCGGGAUGACGGCCUUCGGGUUGUAAACCGCUUUUAGUAGGGAAGAAGGGCUUCGGCUUGACGGUACCUGCAGAAAAAGGACCGGCUAACUACGUGCCAGCAGCCGCGGUAAUACGUAGGGUCCGAGCGUUGUCCGGAAUUAUUGGGCGUAAAGAGCUCGUAGGCGGUUUGUCGCGUCUGCUGUGAAAACUAGAGGCUCAACCUCUAGCCUGCAGUGGGUACGGGCAGACUUGAGUGGUGUAGGGGAGACUGGAAUUCCUGGUGUAGCGGUGGAAUGCGCAGAUAUCAGGAGGAACACCGAUGGCGAAGGCAGGUCUCUGGGCACUUACUGACGCUGAGGAGCGAAAGCGUGGGGAGCGAACAGGAUUAGAUACCCUGGUAGUCCACGCCGUAAACGUUGGGCGCUAGAUGUGGGGACCUUUCCACGGUUUCCGUGUCGUAGCUAACGCAUUAAGCGCCCCGCCUGGGGAGUACGGCCGCAAGGCUAAAACUCAAGGAAUUUGACG
rnacentral:rRNA from 1 species